rnacentral:rRNA from 1 species
GACGAACGCUGGCGGCGUGCUUAACACAUGCAAGUCGAGCGGUAAGGCCUUUCGGGGUACACGAGCGGCGAACGGGUGAGUAACACGUGGGUGAUCUGCCCUGCACUUCGGGAUAAGCCUGGGAAACUGGGUCUAAUACCGGAUAUGACCUCCUAUCGCAUGGUGGGUGGGGGAAAGAUUUAUCGGUGCAGGAUGGGCCCGCGGCCAAUCAGCUUGUUGGUGGGGUAAUGGCCUACCAAGGCGAAGACGGGUAGCCGACCUGAGAGGGUGACCGUCGACACUAGGACUACGGCAGGGCCCAGAGUCGAACGUGGGACAGCGGGGGGAAAUAUUGUACAGUGGGCGAGAGCCUGAUGCAGCGGCGCCGGGGGAGGGAUGACGGCCUGUGGGGUAUGAACCUCUUUCGGCAGGGACGAAGCGCAAGUGACGGUACCUGAAGAAGAAGCACCGGCUAACUACGUG